rnacentral:lncRNA from 1 species
AAUCACGUCGCCGAGCGUGGCGGACUUCACACCCGAGCCGCCGGCGACUGCGACGGACUCGAUCGCCGCGGCGACGGGAUCGCGGUGAACCGCGGAGAUGGUCAGGUCCACCCCCUCAGCCUCCGCCAACUUCGCCAUGCGAUCCGCGUCGGGAAAGGCGAGCUCGGGCCCGGCGGUUCGCACGGGGUAGGUCACCGCGAACGAGGCUCCGCGCUCGAUGAGCGCGUUCAUGUCAACCUCGGCCGUGUCCCUCUUGCCCAGGCCCGCGGAGGCACCCGCGAGGGCGCGGAAGAAACCCGCGGUGGAUCCCUCGCAUCCCUCGCCGAUCGCCGUUCGAGGGCACGACGCGUCUCGAGAACCCUUGGAGCCCAGGGCCGCGGCGAAGUGGUACUUGGUCACGUAGGUGGCGGCGACGUCGGUCCAGCUGUUGCCGCCGAGGUCGCCGGUGUCGGUGGGAGCGGCGUAGUCGCCGAGCUUGGGGCGUUCGGUGCGGGUCGCCGCGUGUUCUCCGCACUGGGCGAACCACGCGUGCGCGCAGUCCGCGUCGGCGGCAAAGUCGGAGAGACCCGCGGGCAGCUUGGAGUCGGUUCGGCCAAAGCCGGCACCCUCCACGCCCAUC